rnacentral:rRNA from 1 species
GAGUUUGAUCCUGGCUCAGGACGAACGCUGGCGGCAGGCUUAACACAUGCAAGUCGAACGAGGUUAGGGAGCUUGCUCCUGAUACCUAGUGGCGAACGGGUGAGUAAUGCUUAGGAAUCUGCCUAGUAGUGGGGGAUAACUUGGGGAAACUCAAGCUAAUACCGCAUACGACCUACGGGUGAAAGGGGGCGCAAGCUCUCGCUAUUAGAUGAGCCUAAGUCGGAUUAGCUAGUUGGUGGGGUAAAGGCCUACCAAGGCGACGAUCUGUAGCUGGUCUGAGAGGAUGAUCAGCCACACUGGGACUGAGACACGGCCCAGACUCCUACGGGAGGCAGCAGUGGGGAAUAUUGGACAAUGGGCGAAAGCCUGAUCCAGCCAUGCCGCGUGUGUGAAGAAGGCCUUUUGGUUGUAAAGCACUUUAAGUAGGGAGGAAAAGCUAAUGGUUAAUACCCAUUAGCCCUGACGUUACCUACAGAAUAAGCACCGGCUAACUCUGUGCCAGCAGCCGCGGUAAUACAGAGGGUGCAAGCGUUAAUCGGAAUUACUGGGCGUAAAGCGCGCGUAGGUGGUUGCUUAAGUCAGAUGUGAAAGCCCCGGGCUUAACCUGGGAACUGCAUCUGAUACUGGGUGACUAGAGUAGGUGAGAGGGGAGUAGAAUUCCAGGUGUAGCGGUGAAAUGCGUAGA